rnacentral:lncRNA from 1 species
GUCUUCAAAAAAAAAGUGGGUUUUUUAAUCAGCUUAUUGCAGCCUUCCAUGUAUAAUAACACACUUAUAUGGCAGUAAACCUGGAAUCCUACAGGAGUUUGUUGUAAAGUGACAGAUUCAGGUCAAAGCUGUUAAUGAGCAACCAGACUGAUGUGUGAUGCACAAUGAAGAGGAAAAGGACAUUAUUGUUUUACAGGUCACUAUCAAUGCCUGUGAGAGUGGGGCCCUCAGACAGCAGAACUGCCAGGGAAAAUAAAAGCAUAUCUGGAAUAACACCUCCUGUCCUGAUGUCUCUCCUCCUGUUGAUACAGUGCAAUGGCUGAGACUAAAAAAUAAUGAAAUAUAUGCAUGUGUGUAGAAAUGGUAUGUACAUGCUGUGUUUCUGGUUUCAUGAUGUCAAGUCUCUUGACUUCCUUGAAUCUAGCAGCACCAGGUGCUCUUUGCUCUGCUCCUGGCAGCAUCUUUGAGAACUCAUGACUUCAGAUCCCACUGGCACACCCUAUUCAAAGAGACUCUGAGCACUCUGCAAAACCACCAAGGCUGAACUCCUUUUUCCCAUUUAGACAAGUCUAUGUUCUAGACGAGAUCAAUGACAGGUAUUCGCAACCAGGUGUAGCUCAGGUAAUCGAAAAGUACCAUGUACGUUUAGCUCCUAUUUCCAUCAGAAAUAUUGAAUUUCGAAUUAUCUUGGGUUUUUUUAGGCUUCUUUUAGAAGUUCAGUCAAAAUAAUUCAGUUGACCAUUUUCUACUGAGGGCUGUGGUGCUGGCAACACCCAACACAUCUCGCAGCAAUGUUUCACUGGCAAAAGCUUCCCUAAUAGAAGGCGUCCUUGUGAUUUUCCUGUUUCAUUUUGUUUCUUUGUUCAGUUACAUUUGUUUGAAUUUUUCCACAGCAUUAUAUUAUUUUGAGCUGGACUUACACGGUGUGUUUUACAUACAAAGCUAACGGGCUGGUGGUGGUCAUUACUGAGCCAACACUGAUAAGAGGGAAGGGUCAGCAACAGGAUUGGUUUGGGGAGUAAGAGAGUCCUCCCUGCUCAGUGAGGUCAGUAAUCCAAUUUCUUUUGUGCCUGACUGUAUCUCUUCAGGGUCACCUAAC